AAAGAAUAUUUGAAAUGAAGUUGGGGUCAAAUAAGUAAAAUGACAAAAUAAAUGAUCGUAAAACAAAAACAAAAACAAAAAAAUAAAAAUAAAAAUAUAGGAAUGGGCGAAGGCGCAUACCUUCACCCGAAAACAAUUUUAAAAAGAAAAAAAAAAGGAGAAGCUUUUGGCUUCUUUCCUACACACUCAAAUUCCACUCGGUAGCUCCACUGCGACAAAAUUCUGGUGAGCUUUCCGGCUGACCAAGGCUUUAUUUGGUAGGAGUCUACACCCCCUUCAUUGGCUUAUAGAAAGAGAAGGGAUUAAGAUAUCUGGUGCUUGUAAAUGCUCGAGAAUGAUGAGAUAUUGUUGGUUGAUCAUUGGAGGUGAGUCUGCUUCUGAUGUAGGUCCUCCAGAUCAGUAGGAGGGGGCGUGAUCGUGGUGGCCUGGGCGGAUGAUUGACUUAUGUUUUGGACUUUGGAUGUCUUUUAUUUGAUUUGGAUAUAUAUUUAUGUAUUAUGAGAUUGUAUUUCUGGAUUUAUGUUGGAUGACCAUGAGGGUGCUCCGGGUUUUUGGGACUCCUGUAUCGGAUAGUAUGGAGAUGGAUAUAGGCCAUGAGGAUCUUGGUUUGGAUUAGAUGUUUGGAUUCUGUUGGAUAUUAUGUCAUAUUUGAAUUUCUUUUA